rnacentral:rRNA from 1 species
AUACGUAGGGGGCGAGCGUUGUCCGGAAUGAUUGGGCGUAAAGGGCGCGUAGGCGGCCCGGUAAGUCUGGAGUGAAAGUCCUGUUUUUAAGAUGGGAAUUGCUUUGGAUACUGUCGGGCUUGAGUGCAGGAGAGGUAAGUGGAAUUCCCAGUGUAGCGGUGAAAUGCGUAGAGAUUGGGAGGAACACCAGUGGCGAAGGCGACUUACUGGACUGUAACUGACGCUGAGGCGCGAAAGUGUGGGGAGCAAGCAGGAUUAGAUACCCUGGUAGUCCACACUGUAAACGAUGAAUGCUAGGUGUAGGGGGUAUCGACCCCUUCUGUGCCGCAGUCAACACAAUAAGCAUUCCGCCUGGGGAGUACGGCCGCAAGGUUGAAACUCAAAUGAAUUGACGGGG